AACGAACGCUGGCGGCGCGCCUAAUACAUGCAAGUCGAGCGAGAAGACGUAGCAAUAUGUUUGUAAAGCGGCGAACGGGUGAGGAACACAUGGGUAACCUACCCUAGAGUGGGGAAUAACUAGCCGAAAGGUUAGCUAAUACCGCGUACGCUCCUUGGACUUCGGUACAGGGAGGAAAGCGAUACCGUGGGUAUCGCGCUCUUGGAUGGGCUCAUGUCCUAUCAGCUUGNGGUGAGGUAACGGCUCACCAAGGCUUCGACGGGUAGCUGGUCUGAGAGGACGAUCAGCCACACUGGCACUGCGACACGGGCCAGACUCCUACGGGAGGCAGCAGUAAGGAAUAUUGCGCAAUGGGCGAAAGCCUGACGCAGCGACGCCGCGUGGGGGA
rnacentral:rRNA from 1 species